rnacentral:lncRNA from 1 species
GAUUGGAAAAGUAGGUACAUGAGGAUGGAGUAUGUUGCUCGGCUGCACUAAAAAAGGUUAAUAUGAUAAGAAGAGAAGCUCUGCUUGGAGAAUCUUUCUCUGAAGUUUUUGGAUCCAGAUUUGGCCUAAUGAAGUGUGAGAAAGCAUCUGCAGAAGGACUGGAAACUGAGCAGAGGAAAAGUGACAUUUAAAGGCAGUUUUGAGCAUGAGAUGAUAUUUUGGAAGACAACAGAGCAUCAGGAGGAAGCAUACUUGAUGAAAAUGAAACUUGGACAAGAUCUCAAUUUCAGAAGACACCACGGCAUGAUUCUGAGACUGCGCUGGCUUAACUUCUG